CCUGCCCAGAGGACAUCACCUGUGCGCAGGACAUUGCCAGCGCACGGACCAUCACCUGUGCAGCAGGCAUCGGCAGCAGCGCGCGGACCAUCACCUGCGCCGCAAGCAUCGGGAGCGCACAUAUCGUCACCUGUGCGCCACAGUUCGUCAACGCGCAGUUUGUCACCUGUGCACCAGACGACAUCAGCGCGCAGAUUAUCACCUGUGCUCCAGACAUCAGCGCACAGAACUUCACCUGUGCGCCAGACACCGUCGGCGACCACACCACAAGAUGGGCGCCAAACUACAGCUCCUGCGCGCAGGCCAUCACCAGAUCGUCGUCUCUCCAGGAGCUCUGAGACUGUGACUGAAGAGCCUCAAGACACAACCCUUGUGGACCCAUCACCCGAUCUGUUUGAGUCUACAGGGUUAACAGACGAGACUUUUCUUGGGUUUGAGGACAGCCGUGCAGACGUAUCCAGCCAGACCCUUGAAAAGUCUUCCGAAACGAGGACACGUAAAGCUCCUGGAGCAGCGGCAUCACAGGAUGGAGAAGUGGUGCCACGGACCAGCAGCGGACUAGCUUCGGGAUUGGUUCCUACUUCAGGCCGGAUCUCCUCAUACAGGAUUCGUCAGAGGAUGACGAGGUGGAAGUGCAGGAGGCUGCAGUUGCUACAUCCCUGUACAUUUUCUGGCAGACAUCCAGGAAGGGCAGAAUCCCUCAACUGUUCAGAGGGUUCACACCCUGGCAUCGGAGAUUGGGACCCGCCAGGAUACGUACACAAAUGUCGUGGGAAGCAGACUGGACAAUAUUGAGAGGACAAUGGAGAAGAUGUCAAACAGUCUGCUUGAACUGCAGAAGACUCUUUCCGACAGCACGGCCACAAUGCUACAGGUCAGAAUGCAAGAUCAGAGGGAUACUAUGGAAGUCCUUCACAUUCUGGCCGAAUCCAUGACCCGGCUCGUGGACAACACCUCAUGUCUGAAAGAAAGCAAUACUAACAUGUCGGAGAGCCAUCGACAAUCUUCAUCCAGCCAACAGGUCAUCGCAACCACACUGCAGAUGAUCUAUGAUAAGCUCCCAGGACCAGCUCAUCAACACGCUGGUGAUCCACCAUAUCCGCCGUCGCAAGCCACAAGGACGCCUCGUACCCUUCCUCAAGUACCAUCCCAGUACAGACAGUCACAGAUGUACCAGGGAUAUACAGGGAUGUAUCCCACCCCCCAGAUGCCUCCACCACCGGCUGCACAAUCUACAGCCGCAUGGGCACAGAGGCCCAGUCAACGUACUACCCAGCCUCCCAGGACAUCGACGCCCCAUCAGGGGGAAGAAGAUAAUCCGGACAGACUUCCACCAUAAACCCGGUCGUAUUGUUUUAUUUAUUUAUAUAUGUUUUUCAUGUAUCCCUUUCUUCCCCUCCCAUUAGUUUUUUUUUCUUUCUUACUAUUGUUUUCUGUGUUGGUCUCCCCCACCCGUGACCGGGUACCACCAAGGAGCUUUGUGUAGGCAUACAUGCGCGGGCAUGUAUGCGGGCGCGUGUGGUAACGGAUGAAAGCUCCUUGUGGCUACAUGUAUGAUGGGCCAAAGAGCUAUUCUGAUACCACUUUUUUCUUCCAAAAAUCCUUUUUGUAAUGGUGUACAGUAGGCUUUCAUUGUGUGAAUUUACUAUUCACUAGUCUGUGUUUUUUACUUAUUCAUAGGAUUGGUGGGAAAAAUGAAGUGGACGGCAUAAGUUCGUGUUGUGCGUACCAAGAUAUCUAUAUACACUGACAAUGCUAAAUUCCUUUGUCGUAUAAACAACCCUUUAUGAGGUCUAAGAACACUGUAUGCUGUUUACUUAAGAAGUACCGUAAGGGUACGCUAGUUGCGUAACGAUCGCUCAGCCGUAGGCGAGACGCUCAAGCGUCACGUUCGCUCACGGCCCAGAGAUCACAGGCAGGCACGCUAUUGGCUGCAGACUAACGUAAUGAUUCGCUAUGGCGUAGCAGACGCUCGAGACCACGAGGAGAUCACCAGCGGCGCAGACGCUCACAACGCUAUACCUUUAUGUCUAAACCUUUUAACAAUGAAAUACACAGAAUACCUUAAUGUGAAUAC